rnacentral:rRNA from 1 species
GACGAACGCUGGCGGCGUGCCUAACACAUGCAAGUCGAACGGAACUUACCAAAUGAAGCUUUCGGGUGGAUUUUUGGUAAGUUUAGUGGCGGACGGGUGAGUAACGCGUGAGUAACCUGCCUUCAAGAGGGGAAUAACGUUCUGAAAAGAACGCUAAUACCGCAUAACAUACGGAUGUCGCAUGGCAACCGUAUCAAAGAUUUUAUCGCUUGAAGAUGGACUCGCGUCCGAUUAGCUAGUUGGUGAGGUAACGGCCCACCAAGGCGACGAUCGGUAGCCGGACUGAGAGGUUGAACGGCCACAUUGGGACUGAGACACGGCCCAG